AUUGAACGCUGGCGGCAUGCUUUACACAUGCAAGUCGAACGGCAGCACGGGGGCAAUCCUGGUGGCGAGUGGCGAACGGGUGAGUAAUAUAUCGGAACGUACCCGGAAAUGGGGGAUAACGUAGCGAAGGUUACGCUAAUACCGCAUAUGCCCUAAGGGGGAAAGCGGGGGAUUCGCAAGAACCUCGCGUUUUCGGAGCGGCCGAUAUCGGAUUAGCUAGUAGGUGAGGUAAAGGCUCACCUAGGCGACGAUCCGUAGCUGGUCUGAGAGGACGACCAGCCACACUGGAACUGAGACACGGUCCAGACUCCUACGGGAGGCAGCAGUGGGGAAUUUUGGACAAUGGGCGCAAGCCUGAUCCAGCCAUGCCGCGUGAGUGAAGAAGGCCUCGGGUUGGUUAAAGACUCUUUCUAGCCGGAAAGAAAACGACACGGGUUAAUAACCUAGUGUGGAGUGACGGUACCGGAA
rnacentral:rRNA from 1 species